rnacentral:rRNA from 1 species
AUAAACAGCCAUAUCACCUUGCAGCCCAAGACUGGUUACUCACUGAACCUAAGCAGGGCUGAGCCUGGUCAGUACCUGGAUGGGAGACCACAUGGGAAAAACUAGGUUGCUGUGGGAA